rnacentral:tRNA from 1 species
GGGUGUGUAGCUUAAGGGCAAAGUGUCCGUCUCCAAAACGGAAGACUGUGGGUUCAAGUCCCUCCACACCUA